UCAUGUUGUGUGAUUUUUCUUUCUCUUUUUCUCGUGCAACACGUAUACUCUGGGGGUUAAUUUCACUCUUUUGACUCUUUUUCUACUCAAAUUUUUCGAGCAUUUUAUAGGUGUUAGAGUCUUAAGUCUCGGCAAAUGCAUUUUUCUCUUUUGUUUUUCUUUUCUCUUUUUUUUUUCUUUUUUUUUUCUUUUAAAGAACAUACAUACUAUUUUUCUUUUUGUCUGCUCUCUUAUUAUGCACUUGCCUUCUCUUUCAAGAUUUCCACCCCAAACUUAGUUUUAUUGCACAUCUUGCAAUUCACACAAUCAUACCGAGUUAUGGAAAAAAA
rnacentral:lncRNA from 1 species